UAGUUUGAUCCUGGCUCAGGACGAACGCUGGCGGCGUGCUUAACACAUGCAAGUGGAGCGACGAACCAGGGCUUGCCCUGGGGCAGAGCCGCGAACGGGUGAGUAACACGUGGGUUACCUGCCCCGAUGACCGGGACAACCCGAGGAAACUCGGGCUAAUACCGGAUGUGGUCCUCGGACUAAAGGAAGCUUCGGCCUCCGCAUCGGGAUGGGCCCGCGGCGCAUUAGCUUGUUGGUGGGGUAACGGCCUACCAAGGCGACGAUGCGUAGCUGGUCUGAGAGGACGAUCAGCCACACUGGGACUGAGACACGGCCCAGACUCCUACGGGAGGCAGCAGUGGGGAAUCUUGCGCAAUGCGCGAAAGCGUGACGCAGCAACGCCGCGUGAGGGAAGACGGCCUUCGGGUUGUAAACCUCUUUCAGUUGGGACGAAGCUUCGUCGGUUAAUAGCCGGCCGGAGUGACGGUACCUUCAGAAGAAGCCCCGGCUAACUACGUGCCAGCAGCCGCGGUAAUACGUAGGGGGCAAGCGUUGUCCGGAAUCAUUGGGCGUAAAGAGCGUGUAGGCGGCCCGAUAAGUCCGCUGUGAAAGUCCAGGGCUCAACCCUGGAAUGCCGGUGGAUACUGUCGGGCUCGAAUCCGGAAGAGGUGAGUGGAAUUCCUGGUGUAGCGGUGAAAUGCGCAGAUAUCAGGA
rnacentral:rRNA from 1 species